UGUCUGAUAGCUCAGUUGGUUAGGGCAUGGUGCUGAUAAGGCCAAGGUUGCAGCUUCAAUCCCUGUAUUAGACAG